GGCAAUGUGGCGUAAUGGUUUAAGUAGUGGACUACUGACUCUGGAGACCAGGGUUCGAUUCCCAGCUCUGCCA